UCCAUAAUAUUUACCCAGCUGUUGAUGUGUAAUAAAUAUUAGAUUUAUUCCAGUGAUAUUAGUUAGAAUGCGUUAGAAGUUGGCUUAAAACGAAAUGUGAGACUGGUGACCUGUCCAGGGUGACCCCGCCUCUCGCCCAAAACGUUCACUGGAGAGGCACCAGGCACAGUAAUAGAAGCCACUCAACCCAAACCAGCUGGCCCAGAAACGCCUCUGUAUGGUAAAUCUCUCUGCAGACUCAUCUGACGCACAUGCCUGAGAUGCCACUAAGUGAACAGCAGAAAGACAAGAGGCCCGAUGAUGAAAACAGAGCGCUGCAGGGAGUACCAGCGGGACAUGUCCCUGCACUGCCUCAAACGCACCGUUUGUUUCAGGGGCUUUCAGACCGAUGUCAGAAACAAACCGCUUUGAUUUUUAUGGUUUAACUCCAAACAUGAUUGUCCAUUCUGGAAAUUCAGAGUUUUUAUCUGUUCCCGUCUGAUCUUGAGUCGCUUUUCAUCUUUUCUUUUAUGUUUGCUCCUACACAUCGAGGUUCCUCCUGAGGGCUUAAGAACGACUUUGAAAACUUUAAAGGCACCAAAAUGUUGACGGAGGCGCACCUCGAAAUCUCCUAACCCGAGCAGAAAGUGGCAGAAAGACAGAAAUUUCUGCUGUGAUGUACAGUAUGUUUGCUUGAUUCCAGUUUCUGUUCGAGCCGCAGUUCGAAGCACAAAGAAGAAUCAGAAACUAGUUUACCCCUGAACUUCAUUCGCUUCACAUUUCUGUACUGCAUCUCCUCCAGCACAAGGUUAUUAAUGCAUGUUUUCUCACAUCACAGAGACAACUCGCCACACACAGCAUCUUGUAGCAUUUCAUUAUUCCCUGCUGGUAUAUUACAGCUUUUUUUAUUCAAUUUUGAGUUGUUUUUGCUGCAUAGAUACGGAAGAGAGGAAGAGGGUUCAUAACCGUUCACUGAUUCAUGCAUAAGCUAAAUAUUCCACUGGACACCUCUUUGUUUAUAUUAAGAAUAAAAUCAACGUCUGCUAUAAAACUAACCCUUGGGUAAGAGACCAAAUUUAUGACUCAUUUCCAAUUCUUUUCCCUU